GGAGGAAAGGGAAGGAUUUGAGUGUCCAAAUGAGGGAGCUGUUGUGAAAUUUGGGAAGGUUAGCUAGUGGUUCCUCCUAACUCCACUGUAAUUAUGAGCUUGAGCUAGUGCCAUUUGAGAAGGAUAUGGAAAAUGGAGGAUGCUAUAGAUGGUGGUGCACCUUUGGAUUAUGCUUCAAAACAUGUUAGCUCUGAAACAGUGUCGAGUUAGAGUUGACUUCAUAUGAGGUUUUCUGUAGUAGUGUAUACAUGA